rnacentral:rRNA from 1 species
AUGGCCGGCGGACGAGGCAAAGCCAAGCCGCUCGAGUUCACGCCGACAUGGAUCGUCGCGUCCGUCUGCUCCAUCAUCGUCAUCAUCUCCCUUCUCUUCGAACGCUUGCUGCACCGCCUAGGCAAGAGGCUGAAGAAGAGCCAAAAGAAGCCGCUGUAUGAGGCCCUCCUGAAGGUGAUGGAGGAGCUGAUGCUACUGGGGUUCAUAUCGCUGCUGCUCAACGUGUUCCAGGCCCCCCUGGGGAAGGUAUGCGUCCGCCGGAGCGCCAUGCGCCACAUGCUUCCCUGCAAGCCGCCGCCGCGCCGGCCGCACAAGACUGAGCACUUUGCCCAUGCUGUGUUCACCGGCGUCAUGGGCGGGCCCAGGCGGCUCCUGGCUGGAGGAGGCGCCUCCGACGAAUACUGCCUCAAGAAGGUACUAGCUUCAAAUAAUUGGCAGUGGAGGUUCUUGUUAAAUUGUGAUCCAAAUUCUAGUAUCGUAUUGUACUAG